rnacentral:lncRNA from 1 species
CUUUCUGCGUUUUUUCUUCUUUAUAACCAAAGGAGUUUUUUCUUCUCUUAAAAUUAAGUCCAGCAAUGGGGCAUAAACAAGUCUUAAUGCUAUAAUACAUUUGACCCUUUACCGAUGCUUUAGUAAACUCUAUAUCCCCACGCGGAUGAAGGAGGACGAUUUCCUGCUGCCCAUAGUAAUGCAAUUAAGUCAUGGAAUACACUGUUGAAAAAAUGUUAGUUAAGAGGCAAAUGCCUUUCUGGGACACUGAUGAUGUCUUUUCAGAGCUGGCUCUGUCCUCUUGAUUACACAUCUGUCUGUACAUAUAUAUGUUCCUUCUUUGCAUGCAUACAAACAGGCUCUGAACACAUCUUUCCAUGCUCAGUGUUGCCUACGGGCUCUCAGAUGUAGCAGCAAUAAUGACCCAUUACAAGCUGAUGUGGGUCAUGCUUGGAAAUCUCCAGAGGGCUACGGAUGGAUUGGAGACAACCCCGCUAUCCUGAACAACACAAUGCAGGAGAAUUAGAUUGCUCUGUGAACUGUGCUUCAGCAUUUUCCACAAGCAAAUGGAGAUCCUUAUAUUUGAAAAUACUAAGAAAUCUCCUCAAAGCUGAAAUCCUGGCUGAUCAGUGGAUCAGGACUGGCAGAUGUCUCUUGGCCACUCAUCUUUUGCUCACAGAAGUCAGCAAUGCCCCUCUUUCAUCCACCUCUCUGCUUUCUGGAACUUGGUUGCUGGGGCUGCUGCAGGACUGCAGGAGGGUGGUUGCACUGAGAUGCAGUCAUGGACUUCGUAUGUACAUGUUUGUAAUUAUGCAGCUCCACUGUGAAAACUCUUAGGCAUUUUGUGUUUUACCAACAGCCAUAUUAAUUUAGAAAUUUAUUCUCUUCCUCGAUUCACCCAUCGUUCUCAUUUUUUUCAGAAACUUUGCUUCCCAUAGAGCUCUUCCUGCUACCUUAUUGUAUGCUGUAAGCCUGGAACUUUCAGAACAAAAUGUAGAAGGUGUUGACUAACUAAGUAAAAUUAUUGUAGCGAGAAUAUACAGUGUGAUUAAAUCCUGGGGUUUUGAUCCAAACUAAGCAGUUGUUUGUGAUAUUAAUAAAACAAAACAACAACAAAAAAAAUGUAAACA